rnacentral:rRNA from 1 species
GAUGAACGCUAGCGGCAGGCUUAACACAUGCAAGUCGAGGGGUAGGAGAAGCUUGCUUUUCUGAGACCGGCGCACGGGUGCGUAACGCGUAUGCAAUCUACCUUUCACAGAGGGAUAGCCCAGAGAAAUUUGGAUUAAUACCUCAUAGUAUAAUUGAAUGGCAUCAUUUAAUUAUUAAAGAUUUAUCGGUGAAAGAUGAGCAUGCGUCCCAUUAGCUAGUUGGUAUGGUAACGGCAUACCAAGGCAACGAUGGGUAGGGGUCCUGAGAGGGAGAUCCCCCACACUGGUACUGAGACACGGACCAGACUCCUACGGGAGGCAGCAGUGAGGAAUAUUGGACAAUGGGCGCAAGCCUGAUCCAGCCAUGCCGCGUGCAGGAUGACGGUCCUAUGGAUUGUAAACUGCUUUUAUACAGGAAGAAACCCCUCUACGUGUAGAGACUUGACGGUACUGUAAGAAUAAGGAUCGGCUAACUCCGUGCCAGCAGCCGCGGUAAUACGGAGGAUCCAAGCGUUAUCCGGAAUCAUUGGGUUUAAAGGGUCCGUAGGCGGUCAGGUAAGUCAGUGGUGAAAGCCCAUCGCUCAACGGUGGAACGGCCAUUGAUACUGUCUGACUUGAAUUAUUAGGAAGUAACUAGAAUAUGUAGUGUAGCGGUGAAAUGCUUAGAGAUUACAUGGAAUACCAAUUGCGAAGGCAGGUUACUACUAAUUGAUUGACGCUGAUGGACGAAAGCGUGGGUAGCGAACAGGAUUAGAUACCCUGGUAGUCCACGCCGUAAACGAUGGAUACUAGCUGUUGGGAGCAAUCUCAGUGGCUAAGCGAAAGUGAUAAGUAUCCCACCUGGGGAGUACGAACGCAAGUUUGAAACUCAAAGGAAUUGACGGGGGCCCGCACAAGCGGUGGAGCAUGUGGUUUAAUUCGAUGAUACGCGAGGAACCUUACCAAGGCUUAAAUGUAGAUUGACCGUUUGGAAACAGAACUUCGC